rnacentral:lncRNA from 1 species
GGAUGUAGUGCUUGUGUGUGUUUUCACUGCUUUGCUCUCAUCACCUAGAAGAGUCCUUGGCACAUGGCAGGAACUCAAUAAAUAUCUUUGAAACAAAGGAGGAAUGGAUGGAUAGAUGAUUCAGUUGAGGGACUUUUUCCUACUGGACCCAGAUGCUACCUCAGAAUCCUCCUCCAUGCACACCAACCCCGGGCAGCCAUGACCAAUCAGUAUUGGCAUUCUAGCUGACGCCCGUUCACCACAGCUGCAAAGAAAUACUUCUCUCCAUUGCCUCUGCAGGGCAUAUUUCUCCUGAAAGAGAAUCUUAAAUACAUUCGCUGUGGUGGAUUUUCUCUCAAGAUGGUUGCUAGAAUACAAAAAGUGUACUUUGAACAGCCACUAUUGGAGACGAGAAAGCCACUUCUCAAGGUUUUAGUGCCGAAAGAGUAG